GGGCCUUUAGCUCAGACGGUUAGAGCGUACCCCUGAUAAGGGUAAGGUCGGUGGUUCGAGUCCACCAAGGCCCA
rnacentral:tRNA from 1 species